rnacentral:rRNA from 1 species
GGAUCAUUACCGAGUGAGGGCCCUCUGGGUCCAACCUCCCACCCGUGUUUAUUUACCUUGUUGCUUCGGCGGGCCCGCCUCACGGCCGCCGGGGGGCACCCGCCCCCGGGCCCGCGCCCGCCGAAGACACCAAUGAACUAUGUCUGAAGAUUGCAGUCUGAGCGAUUAGCUAAAUCAGUUAAAUCUUUCAACAACGAAUCUCUUGGUUCCGGCAUCGAUGAAGAACGCAGCGAAUUGCGAUACGUAAUGUGAAUUGCAGAAUUCAGUGAAUCAUCGAGUCUUUGAACGCACAUUGCGCCCCCUGGUAUUCCGGGGGGCAUGCCUGUCCGAGCGUCAUUGCUGCCCUCAAGCACGGCUUGUGUGUUGGGCCCCGCCCCCCGGUCCCGGGGGGCGGGCCCGAAAGGCAGCGGCGGCACCGCGUCCGGUCCUCGAGCGUAUGGGGCUUUGUCACCCGCUCCGUAGGCCCGGCCGGCGCCCGCCGGCGACCCCCAAUCAAUCUAUCCAGGUUGACCUCGGAUCAGGUAGGGAUACCCGCUGAACUUAAGCAUAUCAAUAAGCGGAGGAAAAGAAACCAACAGGGAUUGCCUCAGUAACGGCGAGUGAAGCGGCAAGAGCUCAAAUUUGAAAGCUGGCCCCCUCGGGGUCCGCAUUGUAAUUUGCAGAGGAUGCUUCGGGAGUGGCCCCCAUCUAAGUGCCCUGGAACGGGCCGUCAUAGAGGGUGAGAAUCCCGUCUGGGAUGGGGUGCCCACGCCCGUGUGAAGCUCCUUCGACGAGUCGAGUUGUUUGGGAAUGCAGCUCUAAAUGGGUGGUAAAUUUCAUCUAAAGCUAAAUACUGGCCGGAGACCGAUAGCGCACAAGUAGAGUGAUCGAAAGAUGAAAAACACUUUGAAAAGAGAAAUUAACAGCACGUGAAAAUGUUGAAAGGGGAGAGCUUGCGACCAGACUCGCCCACGGGGGUCAGCCGGCAUUCGUGCCGGUGUACUUCCCCGCGGGCGGGCCAGCGUCGGUUUGGGCGGCCGGUCAAAGGCCCUUGGAAUGUACCGCCCCCCGGGGCGGCUUAUAGCCAAGGGUGCCAUAGCGGCCAGCCCGGACCGAGGAACGCGCUAUCGGCUCGGUUGAAGGCAUA